CAGUCGCCGCGGUAAUACGAAGGGUGCAAGCGUUAAUCGGAAUUACUGGGCGUAAAGCGUGCGUAGGCGGUUUGUUAAGUCUGUUGUGAAAUCCCCGGGCUCAACCUGGGAAUGGCAAUGGAUACUGGCAAGCUAGAGUGUGUCAGAGGAUGGUGGAAUUCCCGGUGUAGCAGUGAAAUGCGUAGAGAUCGGAAGGAACAUCUGUGGCGAAGGCGACUAUCUGGGCCAACACUGACACUGAGACACGAAAGCGUGGGGAGCAAACAGGAUUAGAUACCCCUGUAGUCCCUGUCUCUUAUAC
rnacentral:rRNA from 1 species